rnacentral:rRNA from 1 species
CCUACGGGCGGCAGCAGUGGGGAAUAUUGGACAAUGGGCGAAAGCCUGAUCCAGCCAUGCCGCGUGUGUGAAGAAGGCCUUCGGGUUGUAAAGCACUUUCAGUGGGGAAGAAAGCCUUGGGGCUAAUACCCUCGAGGAAGGACAUCACCCACAGAAGAAGCACCGGCUAACUCCGUGCCAGCAGCCGCGGUAAUACGGAGGGUGCGAGCGUUAAUCGGAAUUACUGGGCGUAAAGCGCGCGUAGGCGGUCUGAUAAGCCGGUUGUGAAAGCCCCGGGCUCAACCUGGGAACGGCAUCCGGAACUGUCAGGCUAGAGUGCAGGAGAGGAAGGUAGAAUUCCCGGUGUAGCGGUGAAAUGCGUAGAGAUCGGGAGGAAUACCAGUGGCGAAGGCGGCCUUCUGGACUGACACUGACGCUGAGGUGCGAAAGCGUGGGUAGCAAACAGGAUUAGAUACCCGUGUCGUC